rnacentral:rRNA from 1 species
GAGUUUGAUCAUGGCUCAGAACGUACGCUGGCGGCACGCCUUAUACAUGCAAGUCGAACGAAGUAGCAAUACUUAGUGGCAGACGGGUGAGUAACAUGUAGGUAUCUUCCCUUUGGUGAGGAAUAACACGAGGAAACUUGUGCUAAUACCUCAUAAGUCUUUACGGAGAAAGCUUUAUGCGCCGAAGGAUGAGCCUGCACUUGAUUAGUUUGUUGGUGGGGUAAUGGCCUACCAAGACUUUGAUCUAUAGCUGAUCUGAGAGGAUGAUCAGCCACAUUGGGACUGAGACACGGCCCAAACUCCUACGGGAGGCAGCAGUAGGGAAUAUUGCACAAUGGAGGAAACUCUGAUGCAGCGAUGCCGCGUGAGUGAAGAAGGCCUUUGGGUUGUAAAGCUCUUUCGUCGGGGAAGAAAAUGACUGUACCCGAAUAAGAAGGUCCGGCUAACUUCGUGCCAGCAGCCGCGGUAAUACGAAGGGACCUAGCGUAGUUCGGAAUUACUGGGCUUAAAGAGUUCGUAGGUGGUUAAAAAAGUUGGUGGUGAAAUCCCAGAGCUUAACUCUGGAACUGCCAUCAAAACUUUUUAGCUAGAGUAUGAUAGAGGAAAGCAGAAUUUCUAGUGUAGAGGUGAAAUUCGUAGAUAUUAGAAAGAAUACCAAUUGCGAAGGCAGCUUUCUGGAUCAUUACUGACGCUGAGGAACGAAAGCAUGGGUAGCGAAGAGGAUUAGAUACCCUCGUAGUCCAUGCCGUAAACGAUGUGUGUUAGACGUUGGAAAUUUAUUUUCAGUGUCGCAGCGAAAGCAUUAAACACACCGCCUGGGGAGUACGACCGCAAGGUUAAAACUCAAAUGAAUUGACGGGGACCCGCACAAGUAGUGGAGCAUGUGGUUUAAUUCGAAGAUACGCGCAGAACCUUA